GUGCAUAUGAUGGAAAAAAACUUAACCACCUGAAACUUCUGAUGUCGUCAAAGGAACCGCUGAUGCAC